ensembl:lncRNA
AUGUUCUGUUAUUCUUUGUAUAGGAGGCCCUCUGCAUCUGUGGGUUCCAUAUCCUCGGAUACAGAAGACCGACUGUACCACACCAUUUAAUACAAGGGACUUGAGCACCCGUAGAGUUUGAUAUCCUUUGGGGGUCCUGGAACAGAUCCCCCAAGGAUCCCCAGGGAUGACUGUAUGCCACCUAUCAGAAGUGUGAAGACUUCACUUGAGCAACGAACAACCCUCUUUGCUCUUGAGACCAAAGAGUUGCUGUGAGGGAACAUGGAAUUGAGGUUGCCUGCAGUUGCAUCGAGGGACCAAACGUAUGGGUGGAUGCUGAGAAACAGUUAGAAUGCUCCUGUAAAGAAAAGUGGCUGGCGGAUAGUGGAUCAUUAAUUACCAGGUCUCUCUGACUGGAUGAAUAUGUCGGGGUAUCAUUAACUUCAGGAAGCUUCUCUCCCCAGGACUACAUCUAAAAACUUGGUCUCUUCAAGUCCUGGAUCAAUAAAAAAGAAGGAAGAAAAUCAUCACACUAUGAGAUUCUUUGCUUCUUCAAGAAGGUUAACAGCUGAGCAUGGCUUUCACUAUCAACCUGUGAUUCGGAAUUCCUUUGAUAUUAGUAUGAGCACUGUUCUAGUCACAACAAUAUAAGACCCACACUCCUUCCCACAGGAGCUUGAAAUCCAGUAAAGAAAUAAACGUGAUGAAGAUUUUUGUUAAGCAUAACGAACUGAAAUCAAAAGGAGGUUCUUGCUGAUUUCGGCUAAGAGAAUGUAGAAACCUGUGGAAGGCGUCUCAAAAAAGCAGCAGGUGUAACUGGGACUAUCUGAUGGCUGAUCCAAGGACCUCCGCCAAGCAGAGGGUACGACUCAGAGGAGAGGUCCCAGCCCCCGUUCACCUCCUCAGUCAGGUGCCCUGAGCAAGGCGCGUACUGGACAAUUCUACACAAAAGUUGGACCAAUAGCAAAACAACAAAACAAAAGCACUGCCCUCCCAUUCUGGGCAAAAUCCCAAACUCCCAGGGAGUCAUAAAUGUGUCUACUUGGAAUCACAUAUGGGAAGUUCCAGAACAUUCAUGCAGCUUUUCAGGUCUUCGCCCCCACUGUCAGUUUGCACCAGCUGCUUCUCAUCACCUAGCCCUGGGGUCCUUCCCAUGAAGCUCGGUCCAACAGAGAAGCCAGCACCCAAAGGAAGUCCAUGUACACACUGAGCAGUGGACAAGAGCCGAGACUUGAAGGUACGUGAACUAGAUCCCAAGUUGUUUCCCAGAUUCUGUCUUUGGGGAUGACAGUGAUAAAAAGACAUGGGGCCAGGAAAGUCUCAGGCUUUUGUGUUUGUCCUUAUAAAGGUGCUGAUGUAUGGUAAGGAGCAAUGGAGUAAAGUUAUACGUUGUCCAUGAGGCCUUCUAGCAUUACUGAUUUGACCUUCACCCCACCUUUUCAAACUCGAGGAUGAGUAAAACAGAAUAGUAAAAUGCUAUGCUGAUAGUUUUAACUACCAUCCUCUAUAUGGUUCUGUCUAGAUGUUCCGUCUGAGGUUUUAUAAGUUAGAAAUAAGAAAAUAUUCUUUGUUUACGAAUAGGCUAUUUCAAUGGAAAAAAUAUUUCUGUACCUCAGGAAUGCUUCUUAGGACACAUUCCUUAUUUAAAUAAACUACUUGUACAGAAAUGGGUUUUACAACCCAUCUAGACUAAGUUGAAAAUACUUAAAGCGAGCAUUUAAAAAAAAUUUUAGGAAAUUGUCUUGACUAAAUUUUCCAAGUGACUAAGUGACACUGGUGGCAGCAAAAUGACUUAAAUAAUCUGAGACCUGAUGACGUUGACUAUAAGGACCAAUGGAUCAAUUAUAUUCAGAACUUGGGUUUUUUUGUUUUUAAAACAGAGAGUGGUAUUUUCUCCAGAGACACCGGAUAGGAAUAUAACUUGAUCGUCCACAUGUGGUCCACUCAUCCACGCUGGCUUUGAAUCACACUCAUUCCACGCUGAGCUCUUGUUUCCUCAAGCGCAUUCUAUGGUCUUCCAGUGCAGACAGACGGCAUGCACUUCUGGUGGUUCUACACAGCCUUCUGGUCCAGGGCUGAUUGAAUAUGUGAGUAGUUGUUCUAUCACUUAUAAACCAUGUUGAUAUUAAGCAUAAAUGUAGUCCAGAUAAGCUUUCAUUUUCUUAGCCUAGAGGAGUAUGACAGGAUUAAAACCAAAGUGAAUUGAGGGACGACUCAACUGUUUUCAGCAAAUAAUAUAGAAGUGAUUGUACCAUUUGGACCCACUUAAU